GUUGGAGUUGUUUUGGGUUGUUGCUCCUGGAGUAGAGCUUGUGCUUAUCUUAGCUUAUUGUAUUGUACUAGUUUGUAAUAGAGCAAGAUUGUUAGCAUGUAAUUUGCUCCUACCAAUAAUUAAAAUUGUACCCAGACAAGUAUCUUUUAUCUAUGAUAUGCAUAAGUAAAAUAAUUUUACUUACAUGAAACAUGAUAAAAAACUAAGUAAAAUGUUUUUACUGAUACAGAAAACUAUUCAGAAUAUUGGAUAGAAAACAAAAAUGAAUAUAUACUAUGCUAAGUAGAAAAUUAUCUGCAUCAAAGUAUAUUUGUAGAUAAAUAUUAAAUGAAACAAUUGGCUUUAUAAACUCCUUCAGAUCAAUAUAAAAAAGAAAAUAUAAUUUAACAGAAAUUGGAGAUGUUUAUACCUCAUCAUUUUGCAUAUUUCCUAAACCUGAAAGCAGUUGUAUUCAAGCAUGUAAGUGUUUUAAUUUUUGCAAGUUUAGGAAAUAGAUAAUUCAGUAGAAAAGUGGAUAUGGGGGCUGAUGAAAUGGCUCAGUGGUUAAGAGCACUGACUGCUCUUCCAAAGGUCCUGAGUUCAAAUCCCAGCUACCACCUGGUGGCUCACAACCAUCUGUAACGAAAUCUGAUGCCCUCUUCUGGAGUGUCUGAAGACAGCUACAGUGUACUCACAUAUAAUAAAUAAAUCUUUAAAAAAAAUGGAUAUGGCACAUACCUUUAAUCCCAGCACUCAGGAGGCAGAGACAGGCAGAUCUCUGAGUUCAAGAUCAGCCUGGUGUACAUAAUUGGAACUCCAGGACAGCAAAGUCUACAUAGAGAGAUCAUGUCUGAAAAAAUGAACAAAAAGAAAAAAAAAGUAGAUGUGAUAUGUUAUUAUUCAAGAAGUAUAGGCAAAGACAUCAGUGACAUAUAGUUUAGCAUUUAUGAGAUUGACAGAGAAGGAAUGUCAAAUGUUGAUGAGGCUUUAGAGUUAGCAGAAUUUACUUGUGCAUGUUGAUUGUGGGGUUCUAUAUAAACAGAGGCCCUGAGGUGCCCAUGUAUCUAUAAAGGGAACACAGCAUAAAUACCCAGUAACUUGAUAAUCCCACUACUUAAAUGUAAACAUUUGAUCACUGCAGCUUAUAUAAGAAUUGCAUAUAUAUAUGAAUGUCCACAUAUGUAUGUAUGUGUAUAUAUAUAUAUAUGCAUAUAUAUAUGUAUAUACACACACACAUAUAUAUAUGUAUAUAUAUGUAUAUAUAUACACACACACAUACAUACAUACAUACACACACAUACCCUUGAUGAUAGUGAAGAUCUAGAAGCAACUAGAAUGUCAGCAUUAAAAUGGAUAAAUAUGAUAUAUUAGUGGCAGAAUACUGUUUAGCAAUAAAAGUUAAGUUAACUACAGCUAAACUUGGCAACAUAGGUGUCAAGUUUAUAAGGUUGAAAAUUGAUAGAAAGCAUUCUGCCACAUUCACAAAUGAAGUUUUAGAGGUUGAGAUGGUGUUAACACUAUUUUAGAAUAGCUAGUAAGUGGUUAGAGGGAAAGAGUUUCUAGAGCUAUUGAUGCUGGUUAUGCUAGGUGCUGAUUGUUUAUUCAAAAAUCCAUUAAAUUAUAUUGCUAUAAUAUACUUCAGAAUUUUUAACUGUCAUAGUGAAAUAAUAAAAACUCAUUUUAGCAUAAAGGGCUAAUUAAAUAUUUAUAUAUGUUGUGUAAAAUAUUAUACUUUUAUUUUGUAGUAGUGGUAGGGAUGAAAUGUACGCUUCUAUAUUCUAUGUUAAAUGUUCUAUCAUUGUAAUACACCCCUAACUCUAUAUGAUUUAAGUGUUAAUUUAUUUUCUGGAAUAUAAUAAUAUAUAUUGGCUCCUAUUGUUGAAGUUGAGAAUGAGAAACUUAACUACUAAUAGUUAUUAACUUUUGGUGAUUGGAUUUUGAGUAGUCAUAUUUUUUAAAAUGUUUUUCUCCCCAGUUGUUAAUUUUAAAUGCUAUAAAAUGAAAAAUAAGAGACUGUCAGAAUUAAGUAAUUCUAGAAAUUAGAAAAUAUCUAGUGUUUGAAGAAAGAAUAAGAAGAAAAUGAGAUUGUUAUGACUAGGAAGUAAUGGCUACAAGAGAUAUUAUAAUAUUACCAGUUGGUACUAAGUGACUCUAAGGAGCCUGAGAACUUAAUAGUUGAGAAUUAUCUUAAUGAUCUCAGUGUGGGCUGUGAGGGGAAUGAUUUUUCAAGUGUGUCUCUUAUAAUACAUUCAUUUUGAUACUGCGAAUCUGUGUGGUGAUAAUAGUGCCCACAAUAGUUCUUAGUUUUCUAUAGGGAUAAUUUUUGAAAACUUAAUUUAUCUGAAUUUACACUGCUUACUAAACAUGCUUAAUUCAAUAAUGAGGAUUGGACUUAGGGUUUUGUACAUGGUAAGCAUGUUGCUAUAUUUAAGCCUGUGGAUUCUUUCUUCCUUUUUCCUCUUUUGUAAAUGCAAACAUUUUAUUAUCAGAGACUAAAAUGUGGCUCUUUACCUGUUGUAUAUACUGUUAUAUAAAGCUGGGUUGAGUAUUGUGACACAGCACUUAGGAGGCUGAAAUAGGAGGAGCAAUUUGAUGCCAGCCUAAAUUCGUAAAUAAGACUGUCUCAGUAGGCAGACAAAAAGCCCCAAAGUAAUAAGCCCAUUUUCUGGUUUUGAGUGUAUAAAAGAUAUUUAUUUCUAAGGUAUAAAUUAUAAGGGAUCAGUGGAGUGAGGAGGCAAGUAUUCAUUUUUGGUUGUCUGCCAAAAGUCUGUCUCUGCCUUGGGUUCUAAGUUCCUCAUCUAGGCUCUUUAAACAGACAGCCUUUGACUACAGUAAGUAGAAUGAGCUAUCAAUGGCUUUGUCAUUCACCUUAAGUGUUUAUACUUGUGGACCUGUUUAGGACUCCCUCCUGGAGGCAUUGACAAUGUGCUGGGCUUACUGGAAACUGAGGCCCAGCAGGUCUGCAAGUCCCAAGAAUAUGUGGCUGCUUGGCUGGCAACAAACUACUGCCCUAGGGCCUAAGCAAAGGCUCUAUCUACCACCUGUGUGCCCAUCACAGUGAUCUUAGACACUGUUAAGCAGCCUGGUUUCCUAGCUGAAUCAUCUUGUGUUCUAAAAAACAAAGUGUGAUAGAGACUUUAAUGUCUACUGAUAUAAAUUCAAAAUGAAGUCUUCCCUCCCUCCCUGUGUGAGUGUGUGUGUGUGUGUGUGUGUAUCCUCAGUAUCUGGUGAUUUUGAAUAAUAUAAGUGAUAUAUAUUUUUUUUAAUUUUAAAGGUAUUCGACGCAGCAGAAUUCUGUUUUCAAGUCUAGGACUUUUAGUGUUUUAAUCCUGCUAAAGCACAUCUGAGGUCUUUUGAUUUUUUUUUAAAAGCAGAUAGAGCACCUGAGUUACUGACCUAACAGUUAAAGAAGAAAUAAUAUGUAGUAAAUUGUUAACUUUUUUCUUGUCUUAUGUAAAAUAUUUUCAUGUGUAAAUUUAUUUUUG
rnacentral:lncRNA from 1 species